UACGGAGGGGGCGAGCGUUGUCCGAAGUUACUGGGCGUAAAGCGCACGCAGGCGGACGCGCGCGUGGGGUGUAAAAUCUGGCCGCUUAACGGCCAGGCGCCAUCCCAUACGGCGCGUCUGGAGUGAUGCAGAGGUCGGUGGAAUUGCCGGUGUAGCGGUGGAAUGCGUAGAGAUCCGGAAGAACACCGGUGGCGAAGGCGGUCUGCUGGGCAGUUGCUGACACUGAGGCGCGACAGCGUGGGGAGCAAACAGG
rnacentral:rRNA from 1 species